GAUGAAGAACGCAGUGAAAUGCGAUAAGUAAUGUGAAUUGCAGAAUUCAGUGAAUCAUCGAAUCUUUGAACGCACCUUGCGCCCUUUGGUAUUCCGAAGGGCAUGCCUGUUUGAGUGUCAUGAAACCUCACCCCACUUGGGUUUUUGCCUGAGCGGUGGUGUAUUGGGUGUUGCCUUGCUAAAGGCUCGCCUUAAAGACAUAAGCACCUUGGAUGUAAUACGUUUCAUCCUUCUGGGUGGCUGAUAACCCCACAUAUUCAUGAUCUGGCCUCAAAUCAGGUAGGGCUACCCGCUGAACUUAAGCAUAUCAAUAAGCGGAGGA
rnacentral:misc_RNA from 1 species